rnacentral:rRNA from 1 species
GUGGGGAAUUUUGGACAAUGGGCGCAAGCCUGAUCCAGCAAUGCCGCGUGCAGGAAGAAGGCCUUCGGGUUGUAAACUGCUUUUGUACGGAACGAAACGGUCCGGGUUAAUACCCUGGGCUAAUGACGGUACCGUAAGAAUAAGCACCGGCUAACUACGUGCCAGCAGCCGCGGUAAUACGUAGGGUGCAAGCGUUAAUCGGAAUUACUGGGCGUAAAGCGUGCGCAGGCGGUUUUGUAAGACAGGAGUGAAAUCCCCGGGCUCAACCUGGGAAUUGCGCUUGUGACUGCAAGGCUGGAGUGCGGCAGAGGGGGAUGGAAUUCCGCGUGUAGCAGUGAAAUGCGUAGAUAUGCGGAGGAACACCGAUGGCGAAGGCAAUCCCCUGGGCCUGCACUGACGCUCAUGCACGAAAGCGUGGGGAGCAAACAGGAUUAGAUACCCGGGUAGUCC